UUUUAGAUCGACGUGAUCAAUGCGGUAUGCGAAGCUUAUGAGAAAACAAUAAACAAUGAAACAAGCGAUAUUUGCACCGCAUUAAAGACUGCUGCAUGGCAAACGUGCGAAGCAACGAAGCAUAUGUUACCAAGAAUAGGACGAGCUAGUUACGUGAAACAGUCCCAGUAUCUACAAAAUGUGGAUGCAGGUGCAUAUGGGGUUGCCACAUGGAUUAAUGCCAUUACAGAUGUAAUGAAGAAUAUUUAGAUUUAAUAUUGUACAAACGUGUUAAUAUAAAUAUUAAUCGUGAGACUUGUAUAAUUCGUUUUUGUGGAUUAUAUUUAAUAUGUAAAUAAAAAUUUAAUAUAUAUAAUAA